rnacentral:tRNA from 1 species
GCCUGGCUGGCGCAGUCGGUGGAGCAUGAGACUUUUGAUCUUGGGGUUGUGAGUUCGAGCCCCGCGUUGGGUA